GACGUAGGGGGCAAGCGUUGUCCGGAUUUAUUGGGCGUAAAGAGCGUGUAGGCGGUUCGGUAGGUCCGUUGUGAAAACUCGAGGCUCAACCUCGAGACGCCGAUGGAAACCCCCGAACUAGAGUCCGGAAGAGGAGAAUGGAAUUCCUGGUGUAGCGGUGAAAUGCGCAGAUAUCAGGAAGAACACCCGUGGCUAAGGCGGUUCUCUAGUACGGUACUGACGCUGAGACGCGAAAGCGUGGGGAGCGAACAGG
rnacentral:rRNA from 1 species